rnacentral:lncRNA from 1 species
CCUAUGUCCAAUCCUUCAUGCACAAACACUAAUUUUAUAUCUUAAAUCUAAAUUUUCAAAUCUAAAUUCUUUGUAUGAAAAGUAUGUUUUGAUCUCAAAAUAAUUUCAGAUCAUACACAUAAAUAUGUAUCAUAUACAUAAAUAAGUUCAGACCAUAAAAACAAAUUUCAACCCUAAACACGCUUUCAUAUAUCACAUAUAUGAAUCAAAAUAGAUCUC